rnacentral:rRNA from 1 species
GACGAACGCUGGCGGCGUGCCUAAUACAUGCAAGUCGAGCGGACGGAUGGGAGCUUGCUCCCAGACCGUCAGCGGCGGACGGGUGAGUAACACGUGGGCAACCUGCCUGUAAGACUGGGAUAACUCCGGGAAACCGGGGCUAAUACCGGAUAACUCUUUCCCUCACAUGAGGGAAAGCUGAAGGAUGGCAUCUCGCUAUCACUUACAGAUGGGCCCGCGGCGCAUUAGCUAGUUGGUGAGGUAACGGCUCACCAAGGCGACGAUGCGUAGCCGACCUGAGAGGGUGAUCGGCCACACUGGGGCUGAGACACGGCCCAGACUCCUACGGGAGGCAGCAGUAGGGAAUCUUCCGCAAAGGACGAAAGUCUGACGGAGCAACGCCGCGUGAGUGAUGAAGGUUUUCGGAUCGUAAAACUCUGUUGUCAGGGAAGAACAAGUACCGGAGUAACUGCCGGUACCUUGACGGUACCUGACCAGAAAGCCACGGCUAACUACGUG